rnacentral:tRNA from 8 species
GCCGGGGUGGCGUAGUUGGUGGCGCGUCGGACUCAUAAUCCGAAGGUCGCGGGUUCAAGCCCCGCUCCCGGCACCA